rnacentral:rRNA from 1 species
AUACGGAGGGUCCGAGCGUUAAUCGGAAUUACUGGGCGUAAAGCGCGCGUAGGCGGCUAUAUAAGUCAGAUGUGAAAUCCCUGGGCUCAACCUAGGAACUGCAUUUGAAACUGUAUGGCUCGAGUAUGGUAGAGGUGAGUGGAAUUUCAGGUGUAGCGGUGAAAUGCGUAGAGAUCUGAAGGAACAUCAGUGGCGAAGGCGACUCACUGGGCCAUUACUGACGCUGAGGUGCGAAAGCGUGGGUAGCAAACAGGAUUAGAAACCCUAGUAGUCC